CCAUACACACACAAGCCAAGCCACUUGCGUCAUGAAAACGCUCAAUACCCCAACUAGAUAUCUCUGUUGAAUAGCCUCGAAGCUUGAAGAAGUGCUCUUUAGUGAAUAGCUCUAUUACCCCCCAGAAACUAGACGACAGUUCUGGCAGUACAACUGUUUUUAUUGAGCUGAAUGUGGCCUUUUAUGCACAGACCCCCAGCAUGAGGUCUCUAUUCAGUACAUAAAGUGCACACCCGGGCCUCUCUGUCUGGGAGAUUAUUGUGUUGCAAUCCGCUAAACUAAUUAUCUCCCGGAUACAUAGUGCCAAACACAAAAAUACCCCCAAAACAUAAUAAAGACACACAGGAACCCCACACAUGCUGG